UACGGAGGGUGCAAGCGUUAUCCGGAUUUACUGGGUUUAAAGGGUGCGUAGGCGGCGCGGUAAGUCGGGUGUGAAAUCUCGGGGCUUAACUCCGAAACUGCAUUCGAUACUGCCGUGCUUGAGGACUGGAGAGGAGACUGGAAUUUACGGUGUAGCGGUGAAAUGCGUAGAUAUCGUAAGGAAGACCAGUGGCGAAGGCGGGUCUCUGGACAGUUCCUGACGCUGAGGCACGAAGGUCAGGGGAGCAAACGGG
rnacentral:rRNA from 1 species